rnacentral:misc_RNA from 1 species
GAUGAAGAACGCAGUGAAAUGCGAUAAGUAAUGUGAAUUGCAGAAUUCAGUGAAUCAUCGAAUCUUUGAACGCACAUUGCGCCCGCCAGCACUCUGGCGGGCAUGCCUGUUCGAGCGUCAUUUCGACCAUCAGGCCCUCCGGGCUUGUGUUGGGGCUCCCUGCGGCUGUCCGCAGGCCCUGAAAACCAGUGGCGGGCUUGCAAAGUCACACCGAGCGCAGUAGAUUUUUUUCAUCUCGCUCAGGGCGUGCGUGCGGGCGCCGGCCGUAAAAGACGAGAGCGCGGCCUCGGCCGCCCACAAAUACCACAAGGUUGACCUCGGAUCAGGUAGGAAUACCCGCUGAACUUAAGCAUAUCAAUAAGCGGAGGA